CCUGCGGCCUAUUUUUGGCACACGGAGGCGCCUCACAAAGUCUCGCGCCAUUCCGAGUCCGGCGGACGAAGUUGGCCAGCACCACCCCCCAAGGCUAUAGCCCGCCCGUUUUUGUGGGCUUUUUCCGCUGGACGAACUUGGCGCCCCGGCCUGCGGGCGGUUGUUUUUGGGCACGGCUGUUCCCGCGGCCUAUUUUUGGCACACAGAGGUGCCUCGCAAAGUCUCGCUCCAUUCCGAGUCCGGCGGUCGAAGUUGGCCAGCCCCACCCCCCAAGGCUAUAGCCAACCCGUUUUUGUGGCCUUUUUCCGCUGGACAAACUUGGCGCCCCGGCUUUCGGGCGGUUAUUUUUGGGCGCGACUGUGCCCGCAGCCUAUUUUUGGCACACGGAGGCACCUCACAAAGUCUCGCGCCAUUCCGAGUCCGGCGGACGAAGUUGGCUAGCACCACCCCCAAAGGCUAUAGCCCGCCCGUUUUUGUGGCCUUUUUCCGCUGGACGAACUUGGCGCCCCGGCUUUCGGGCAGUUAUUUUUGGGCGCGACGGUGUCUGCGGCCUAAUUUUGGCACACGGAGGCACCUCACAAAGUCUCGCGCCAUUCCGAGUCCGGCGGACGAAGUUGGCCAGCCCCACCCCCCAAGGCUAUAGCCCACCCGUUUUUGUGGCCUUUUUCCGCUGGACGAACUUGGCGCCCCGGCCUUCGGGCGGUUAUUUUUGGGCAAGGCUUUGCCCGCGGCCUAUUUUUGGCACACGGAGGCCCCUCGCAAAGUCUCGCGGCAUUCCGAGUCCGGCGGACGAAGUUGGCCAGCCCCACCCCCCAAGGCUAUAGCCCACCCGUUUUUGUGGCCUUUUUCCGCUGAACGAACUUGGCGCCCCGGCCUUCGGGCGGUUAUUUUUGGACGUGGCUUGGUCCGCGGCCUAUUUUUGGCACACGGAUGCCACUCGUAAAGUCUCGCGGCAUUCCGAGUCCGGCGGACGAAGUAGGCCAGCCCCACCCCCCAAGGCUAUAGCCCACCCAUUUUUGUGGCCUUUUUCUGCUGGACGAACUUGGCGCCCCGGCCUUCGGGCGGUUAUUUUUGGGCGCGGCAUUGCCUGCGGCCUAUUUUUGGCACGCGGAGGCCCCUCGCAAAGUCUCGCGGCAUUCCGAGUCCGGCAGACGAAGUUGGCCAGCCCCACCCCCCAAGGCUAUAGCCCACCCGUUUUUGUGGCCUUUUUCCGCUGGACGAACUUGGCGCCCCGGCCUUCUGGCGGUUAUUUUUGGGCGCGGCUUUGCCCGUGGCCUAUUUUUGGCACACGGAGGCCCCUCGCAACGUCUCGCGGCAUUUCGAGUCCUGCGGACGAAGUUGACCAGCCCCACCCCCCAAGGCUAUAGCCCACCCGUUUUUGUGGCCUUUUUCCGCUGGACGAACUUGGCGCCCCGGCCUUCUGGCGGUUAUUUUUGGGCGCGGCUUUGCCCGUGGCUUAUUUUUGGCACACGGAGGCCCCUCGCAAUGUCUCGCGGCAUUUCGAGUCCGGCGGAAGAAGUUGGCCAGCCCCACCCCCCAAGCCUAUAGCCCACCCUUUUUUGUGGCCUUUUACCGCUGGACGAACUUGGCGCCCCGGCCUUCGGGCAGUUAUUUUUGGGUGCGGCUUUGCCCGCGGCCGAUUUUUGGCACACGGAGGCCCCUCGUAAACUCUCGCGGCAUUCCGAGCCCGGCGGAUGAAGUGGGCCAGCCUCACCCCCCAAGGCUAUAGCCCACCCGUUUUUGUGGCCUUUUUCCGCUGGACGAACUUGGCGCCCCGGCCUUCGGGCGGUUAUUUUUGGGCGCGGCUUUGUCCGCGGCCUUUUUUUGGCACACGGAGGCCCCUCGCAAAGUCUCGCGGAAUUCCGAGUUCGGCGGACGAAGUUGACCAGCCCCACCCCCCAAGGCUAUAGCCCACCCGUUUUUGUGGCCUUUUUCCGCUGGACGAACUUGGCGCCCCGGCCUUCGGGGGCUUAUUUUUGGGGGCAGCUUUGUUCGCGGCCUAUUUUUGGCACACGGAGGCCGCUCGCAAAGUCUCGCGGUAUUCCGAGUCCGGCGGACG
rnacentral:lncRNA from 1 species